rnacentral:rRNA from 1 species
AUUGAACGCUGGCGGCAGGCCUAACACAUGCAAGUCGAGCGGAGCGGCGGACGGGUGAUUAAUGCCUAGGAAUCUGCCUGGUAGUGGGGGAUAACAUCCGCACACGGGCGCUAAUACCGCAUACUAUCAGAUGAGCCUAGGUCCGAUUAUCUAGUGGGUGGGGUAAAGGCCUACCAAGGCGACGAUCCGGAACUGGUCUGAGAUGAUGAUCAGUCACACUGGAACUGAGACACGGUCCAGACUCCUACGGGAGGCAGCAGUGGGGAAUAUGGGACAAUGGGCGAAAGCCUGAUCCAGCCAUGCUGCGUGUGUGAAGAAGGUCUUCGGAUUGUAAAGCACUUUAAGUUGGGAGGCGUAAAGAACAGAAUAAGCACCGGCUAACUUCGUGCCAGCAGCCGCGGUAAUAG